GACGUAGGGCGCGAGCGUUGUCCGGAUUUAUUGGGCGUAAAGAGCUCGUAGGCGGCUUGUCGCGUCGGCUGUGAAAACCCGCGGCUCAACUGUGGGCGGGCAGCUGAUACGGGCAGGCUAGAGUGCGGUAGGGGAGAUUGGAAUUCCUGGUGUAGCGGUGGAAUGCGCAGAUAUCAGGAGGAACACCAAUGGCGAAGGCAGAUCUCUGGGCCGUAACUGACGCUGAGGAGCGAAAGCAUGGGGAGCGAACAGG
rnacentral:rRNA from 1 species